GACGAACGCUGGCGGCGUGCCUAAUACAUGCAAGUUGAGCGCUGAAGGUUGGUACUUGUACCAACUGGAUGAGCAGCGAACGGGUGAGUAACGCGUGGGGAAUCUGCCUUUGAGCGGGGGACAACAUUUGGAAACGAAUGCUAAUACCGCAUAAAAACUUUAAACACAAGUUUUAAGUUUGAAAGAUGCAAUUGCAUCACUCAAAGAUGAUCCCGCGUUGUAUUAGCUAGUUGGUGAGGUAAAGGCUCACCAAGGCGAUGAUACAUAGCCGACCUGAGAGGGUGAUCGGCCACAUUGGGACUGAGACAAGGCCCAAACUCCUACGGGAGGCAGCAGUAGGGAAUCUUCGGCAAGUGACGAAAGUCUGACCGAGCAACGCCGCGGGAGUGAAGAAGGGUUUCGGAUCGUAAAACUCUGUUGGUAGAGAAGAACGUUGGUGAGAGUGGAAAGCUCAUCAAGUGACGGUAACUACCCAGAAAGGGACGGCUAACUACGUG
rnacentral:rRNA from 1 species